GAUCCUGCGGGAGGUUGCUGCUAUUUGGAUCCGAGUAAGCCAUGCAAGUCAGAGGGCUUCGCAAGAAGCACAGGCGAAAUGCUCAGUAACACGUCGAUAAUCUAACCUUAAGUCUAGGAUAACCUCGGUAAACUGAGGCUAAAACUGGAUAGGAGAAACAAAUUGGAAAAUAGUUUCUUUGAAAGGCAACGCUUAAGGAUGAGUCGGCGGCAGAUUAGGUAGUUGGUGGUGUAAAGGACCACCAAGCCUACGAUCUGUAGGGGCCUUGAGAGAGGUAGCCUCGAGAAGGGCACUUAGACACUGGCCCUAGCCCUACGGGGUGCAGCAGGCGCGAAAACUUUACACUGCACGCAAGUGUGAUAAGGGAAUCCAAAGUGCUCAAGUUUUUUACUUGGGCUUUUGCCAAAUGUAAGCAGUUUGGCGAAUAAGUGGUGGGAAAGACGGGUGCCAGCCGCCGCGGUAACACCUGCGCCACAAGUGGGGACCACAAUUAUUGGGCCUAAAGCGUCCGUAGCUGGUCAAGUAAAUCUUUUGUGAAAUCAUCAGGCUUAACUUGAUGACGUGCAGGAGACACUGCUGGACUUGGAACCGGAGAGGAGUUGGAAGUAUGAUGAGGGGAGCGGUAAAAUGCUAUAAUCCUCAUUAGACUACCUGUGGCGAAGGCGUCCAACUAGAACGGAUUCGACGGUGAGGGAUGAAAGCUAGGGGAGCGAACCGGAUUAGAUACCCGAGUAGUCCUAGCUGUAAACUCUGCGAGCUAGGUGUCACGUAUCCGUUAGGAUACGUGGUGUCGUAGUGAAGGCGUUUAGCUCGCCGCCUGGGGAGUACGGUCGCAAGACUGAAACUUAAAGGAAUUGGCGGGGGAGCACCACAAGGGGUGCGGCGUGCGGUUUAAUCCAAUUCAACGCGGAAAAUCUUACCAGAGGCGACGGCAGGAUGAAAGUCAGGCUAAAGGCUUUACUUGACGAGCCGAGAGGUAGUGCAUGGCCGCCGUCAGCUCGUGCCGUAAGGUGUCCUGUUAAGUCAGGCAACGAGCGAGACCUACAUUUACAAUUGCUAACUGGUCCUUUCGGAUGACAGAGCACAUUGUAAGGACUGCCUUGGAAACAAGGAGGAAGGUGUAGGCUACGGUAGGUCUGUAUGCUCCGAAUCUUCUGGGCUACACGCGCGCAACAAUGGUUUAGACAAUGGGUCACAACUCCGAAAGGAGAAGUUAAUCCUCAAAACUAAACCCUAGUUUGGAUUGAGGGUUGCAACUCACCCUCAUGACAAUGGAAUCCCUAGUAAUCGGUCCUCAUUAUAGACCAGUGAAUAUGUCCCUGCUCCUUGCACACACCGCCCGUCAAACCACCCGAGUAGGGUUCAGGUGAGGAUUAGUUUUCAAUUAAUUCGAAUCUAAGCUCAGCGAGGAGGGUUAAGUCGUCACAAGGUA
rnacentral:rRNA from 1 species